rnacentral:rRNA from 1 species
CCUACGGGAGGCAGCAGUGGGGAAUAUUGCACAAUGGGGGAAACCCUGAUGCAGCGACGCCGCGUGAGUGAAGAAGUAUUUCGGUAUGUAAAGCUCUAUCAGCAGGGAAGAAAUAGCGACCUUUGGGUCGCCAGACGGUACCUGAUUAAGAAGCCCCGGCUAACUACGUGCCAGCAGCCGCGGUAAUACGUAGGGGGCACGCGUUAUCCGGGGUUACUGUGUGUAAAGGGAGCGUAGACGGCAGCGCAAGUCUGAAGUGAAAUGCCGGGGCCUAACCCCGGAACUGCUUUGGAAACUGUGCAGCUAGAGUGCAGGAGAGGUAAGUGGAAUUCCUAGUGUAGCGGUGAAAUGCGUAGAUAUUAGGAGGAAAACCAGUGGCGAAGGCGGCUUACUGGACUGUAACUGACGUUGAGGCUCGAAAGCGUGGGGAGCAAACAGGAUUAGAUACCCCAGUAGUC